rnacentral:misc_RNA from 1 species
GAUGAAGAACGUAGCGAAAUGCGAUAAGUAAUGUGAAUUGCAGAAUUCAGUGAAUCAUCGAAUCUUUGAACGCACAUUGCGCCCUCUGGUAUUCCGGGGGGCAUGCCUGUUCGAGCGUCAUUAUAACCACUCAAGCUCUCGCUUGGUAUUGGGGUUCGCGGUUUCGCGGCCCCUAAAAUCAGUGGCGGUGCCUGUCGGCUCUACGCGUAGUAAUACUUCUCGCGAUUGAGUUCGAUAGGUCUACUUGCCAGUAACCCCCAAUUUUUACAGGUUGACCUCGGACCAGGUAGGGAUACCCGCUGAACUUAAGCAUAUCAAUAAGCGGAGGA